AGAGCUUCGGCAGGAUUUCUAUCUAUCUUAGUGGCGGACGGGUGAGUAACGUGUGGGCAACCUGCCCUGUACUGGGGAAUAAUCAUUGGAAACGAUGACUAAUACCGCAUGUGGUCCUCGGAAGGCAUCUUCUGAGGAAGAAAGGAUUUAUUCGGUACAGGAUGGGCCCGCAUCUGAUUAGCUAGUUGGUGAGAUAACAGCCCACCAAGGCGACGAUCAGUAGCCGACCUGAGAGGGUGAUCGGCCACAUUGGGACUGAGACACGGCCCAAACUCCUACGGGAGGCAGCAGUGGGGAAUAUUGCACAAUGGGCGAAAGCCUGAUGCAGCAACGCCGCGUGAAGGAUGAAGGGUUUCGGCUCGUAAACUUCUAUCAAUAGGGAAGAAAUAAAUGACGGUACCUAAAUAAGAAGCCCCGGCUAACUACGGCCAGCAGCCGCGGUAAUACUAGGGGGCAAGCGUUAUCCGGAAUUACUGGGUGUAAAGGGAGCGUAGGCGGCAUGGUAAGCCAGAUGUGAAAGCCUUGGGCUUAACCCGAGGAUUGCAUUUGGAACUAUCAAGCUAGAGUACAGGAGAGGAAAGCGGAAUUCCUAGUGUAGCGGUGAAAUGCGUAGAUAUUAGGAAGAACACCAGUGGCGAAGGCGGCUUUCUGGACUGAAACUGACGCUGAGCUCGAAAGCGUGGGGAGCAAACAGGAUUAGAUACCCUGGUAGUCCACGCCGUAAACGAUGAGUGCUAGGUGUCGGGGAGGAAUCCUCGGUGCCGCAGCUAACGCAAUAAGCACUCCACCUGGGGAGUACGACCGCGAGGUUGAAACUCAAAGGAAUUGACGGGGGCCCGCACAAGCGGUGGAGCAUGUGGUUUAAUUCGAAGCAACGCGAAGAACCUUACCAAGGCUUGACAUCCCGAUGACCGCUCUAGAGAUAGAGCUUCUCUUCGUAGCAUCGGUGACCGGGGGUGCAUGGGAGUCGUCAGCUCGUGUCGUGAGAUGUUGGGUUAAGUCCCGCAACGAGCGCAACCCUUAUCUUCAGUAGCCAUCAUUCAGUUGGGCACUCUGGAGAGACUGCCGUGGAUAACACGGAGGAAGGUGGGGAUGACGUCAAAUCAUCAUGCCCCUUAUGUCUUGGGCUACACACGUGCUACAAUGGCUGGUAACAAAGUGACGCAAGACGGCGACGUUAAGCAAAUCACAAAAACCCAGUCCCAGUUCGGAUUGUAGUCUGCAACUCGACUACAUGAAGCUGGAAUCGCUAGUAAUCGCGAAUCAGCAUGUCGCGGUGAAUACGUUCCCGGGCCUUGUACACACCGCCCGUCACACCAUGGGAGUUGGAAGCACCCGAAGUCGGUGACCUAACCGUAAGG
rnacentral:rRNA from 2 species